rnacentral:rRNA from 1 species
UGGGGAAUAUUGCACAAUGGAGGGAACUCUGAUGCAGCGACGCCGCGUGAACGAAGAAGGCUUUCGAGUCGUAAAGUUCUUUUAUAUGGGAAGAUAAUGACGGUACCAUAAGAAGAAGCCCCGGCUAACUACGUGCCAGCAGCCGCGGUAAUACGUAGGGGGCUAGCGUUGUCCGGAAUCACUGGGCGUAAAGGGUUCGCAGGCGGAAAUGCAGUCAGGUGUAAAAGGCAGUAGCUUAACUACUGUAAGCAUUUGAAACUGCAUAUCUUGAGAAGAGUAGAGGUAAGUGGAAUUUUUAGUGUAGCGGUGAAAUGCGUAGAUAUUAAAAAGAAUACCGGUGGCGAAGGCGACUUACUGGGCUCAUUCUGACGCUGAGGAACGAAAGCGUGGGUAGCAAACAGG